AGCAGCGUGGCUCAGUGGAAAGAGCCCGGGCUUGAGAGUCAGAGGUCAUGGGUUCAAAUCCCAGAUCUGCUG
rnacentral:tRNA from 1 species